AGCUGGAAUUACAGGCAUGCACCACCACACCAAGCUAAUUGUACUUCAGAGACAGGGUUUCACCAUAUUGGCCAGGCUUGUCUCGAACUCUUGACCUUAAGGGAUCCGCCCAACUAUGUCUCCCAAGUGCUGGAUUACAGGCGUGAGCCACCGUACUCAGCCAGUUCCACCUGAUUUUUAAAAUUGCCUUGGCCAGCAUUGGAUACACAGUAAAUAUUUAGUAAAUGCUUUCCACAUUGAAUCAAAGAAGUUUCCCAUCUUAGCUAUUUCCUUGAAACUUUCCCGAAGUUUGAAACCUAAUAGAUCAUCAGUGACAUCCUCUUCAUCAUAGUUUCACCUCUGCCUAAUAAAGCACAAAUUACUCUUAAGCAAUGAGGCGCUGUGCAUUUGAAGCCUUUUAUAGCUCCAUUUGUCUGCAGUCACCUAAAAGUCAAUGGAUAGAUGUGUUUGUCAUAAUGUGUGAUAAGUGCAAAUAACCCUUGUUAGUAGUGUCAUUAGAGAUGAAAUAGAUGCAUAGGAACUAAGAGGUCAUAAGCUGUCAGGUUUUACUGUAAGGAAAUACAGAAUGUCAUUUGCACCUAAAAAUGCGCAGAAGUAAAUGGACAAUUCUUCACCGCAAUAUUACUUGUUUUUCAAAGCUUACAUGUUUACAUUUAAGCUUUUAACAUUUAAACAUGUUACAUUGGCAUGUUUACAUUUGUUCACCCACUACCUUACUCAUGGCAUAGCAAAAUAAGCCAUAAAUUAAAAAUAGCUCAGUAUACCACUGAAGAAGUCAAUAGAUCUGAAUAUAGUAGCAUAGCAAAGCAGCUUCAGUUUACUGGAUGUGCCUUCAAGGCAGACCAUGCCCGUUAGGUAGAGGAUUAGUGGAGAACAGAAAUCUCUGCCUCUCUAUGGCUAGAAGUGGAUCUAUGUCAUUGAUCUACCGACAGUGACACUUUUCCUUACUUGAAACUUGGGUAUACAGUGACCUCACCUACUCAUAGAAUCUCCAAAAGUGGGGAAUUAAUAAUAGAAAAAGGCUUUUGAGUAGCCAAAAAGGAUUUGAUAAAGUUAAUAUUCUAAGUUAGCCUGUUCUCUUACCAGAUAGUAUGUCUCCUCAGUUCUUGCUUUCUUGAUGUGAAGUUCUGAAACUUUGUUGUCUGGUGUCUGUUCCCUAACAAGUGCCACUAUAUUAUAUUUUGAGCUAGUGACAAGGGACCUAUCUUUGUCCCUGUUCCUACAUCCUUCUGGACUCCAACUGGUUUGAUGAAGCGAGAGUACCUCAAGAGACAUAUACAUGCCAAGAACGGCCUGUAACAGUUUUAUUGCCCCUCCCCUGCCCAACUCAUUGAAGGAAACAGGAGGGAGUGAACCCCAGUGUCUUCGGUUAAAUCCAUUGCAGUCCACUCUUGUGUUCUAAUGAGUAUAUUACAAUUGCAGUCUGAAGUCAUUUCAGAGCUCCUAUCCUUUACUACGAGCUGACUUAGGCGGGACUGCUCCAGCAACUUGGGGCGGAGGCCCAGGGUCUGACUUUUCUCCCUGCUUCCCUACUCCUGCUCUGUUAAGGGUGAGAGGUUGGGAAGUUUGCUCUCCUCUCUGUGAUGAGUUGUUGCUGCCAAUCUGACUCCUAAUGCUAUAGAUUUAUUAAGGCUGGAUGAUGAAAGAUUGGGCCCUGAUGACAACGGAGCCAUCCCGAGUUCCUCUGACAGUGAUGAGCCUCCCAGGAGAGGCAGCCACAGCUGAAGCACACACAGCUCCCUUCCGCUGUGGCAGCCCCACAAGCCUGCAAACCCGUAUCUCAUCACAGCCUCGGUUCUCAACUCUGAGGCUGGCCAGACCUCCAACUGGUGGUGGUUGCUGUUUCAGGCCCAGGCAUAAUCAAAUCCAUGUGAAGAAGAGAGAUUUCUUCCUGGGUGGCCCUUCGCGAGAGAAAGAAAAUUUUCCUACAAGUCUUCCAGAAGAGUUCUUUAUGUCUUAAUGGCAGCAGUGAGGAUGCCAGGGUCCCUGGGUUUCUAGAAGACAAGUUUUCAGCUGUAGAUACAAACAUUAGGACGUCAAUGUAUCUGUCAGGAGAACACCUGGGACAGUGUUGAGAACGCACAACCUGGAGGCUAAACCUCCAGCUUUCUAUGCUAGCUGAGAGUCUGUGGGCACAUUACUCAGCAUCUCUGAACCUCGUGCUCCUCCUCUGUGACAUGUAGAUUGCUAAACCCAUCUCACAGGGCUGUCUUCUGCAUUUAAAGAAUAAAAUAACACAUGAGGGGUCUA